rnacentral:rRNA from 1 species
UAAGGAAUAUUGGACAAUGCCCGCAAGGGUGAUCCAGCCAUGCCGCGUGCAGGAAGACGGCCCUAUGGGUUGUAAACUGCUUUUACACCGGAGAAAACCCCCCUACGUGUAGGGGGCUGAUAGUAUGGUGAGAAUAAGCAUCGGCUAACUUCGUGCCAGCAGCCGCGGUAAGACGAAGGAUGCAAGCGUUAUCCGGAUUCAUUGGGUUUAAAGGGAGCGUAGGUGGCCUUAUAAGUCAGUGGUGAAAUCU